CAACAGACACAUUUCCCCAGUUCGUCCAUGACUAGCAAUGACAUAGAGAAUGUUCCGGGACACAAAACCCUGAGCAUGUGAGGGGAUUUGGGCCAGCUGCAUUUCCGAAUAGUGAGAUUGCUGAGUCAGAGGCUGGUAUGGAACUCUCCAGAACAGGUACUUCAUGGACCCAGGUUCAAUCCACUUUGCUAUUAUUCACUAUAGUGGGAAAAGAGGGAUGGAGGUUCACAGCCUCUCAUGCUUGUUAUGGAAAUGAAAUACAUCCCUGAUGCAAUCCAUUGGUCAGAAUUGGUCAUAUGACCUGGCAUAACAGCAAAGAAGGCUGGGAAACUCAAUGAUGUCAAGAGGUCUGUGGCAAGACAUAAACAUCACAGUGGAAGUGUAUAAUCCAGGAGAGCUGCUUCUCCUCAUGGUAGUCAAGAAAGCUCCAGGGUCAAAACAAACCAUCAAAGAGUGCCUCCAAUUGUAGGGAAAAGGAUCUAGCCAAAGAAACAUUGAGCAGAGCCAGAGAGACACACUUUGACCCAGCAACCAGAACCAAAGAAAUGUACCCUGACUCUGAAACUAGUGCCAAAGAAACACACUUUGUCUCUAGAAGCAGAGUCAGUGAAAGAAAUGCACCCUGGCCCUAAAAGUAGGGCCAGAAAGCCAAAAAGACCAGUAAAAUACACACACUUUGGCCCUGAAACUAGAGUCCAAUCUGGCCCUAAACCCAUGCAGAAAACCAACCAAUCCCUGAACAGAGAGCUAGCCAAUCAGUUCAGGGACUCAAAUCGGACCAAUCCCUGCCCCCUGGAAAAACUAUAUAAACCCUGUGUCCCCAUGGAACUGUAAGAAGA
rnacentral:lncRNA from 1 species